UUAGAUUUAGAUUUAGGAUUUUUUAGAUUUAGAUUUUUUAGAUUUUUAGAUUUUUAUUUUUAUUGUUUUUACUAUUACUAACUUUUCUUCUUCAGAGAUGUCUUCAGAUGAUACUGCGAAAACUGCAGAAACUCUUAACAUCACUGACUAUUACCCCACCAUAACACCAGCAGGAGAAACCAUUUUAUGCAACACAUCAUCUGUCUGCAAUUUUUCAGUGUUCUAUGUGGGCAAGGUAAAACUUCAGGCAAGAGAAGAGCGUAACACAUCACUAAAUGUAGAAAUAAUUAAUAACGUAACCAUCAAUGAUCAAGUUGCAAACUUAAUUCCAAUUUCAGCACCAACGCUACAAGAGCUGAGGUAAGUAAUUUUAAAUAAAGAUUGAAAUCUUUGCAGUAUUUGAAAAAGAUGAAGCAA
rnacentral:lncRNA from 1 species